AUUGAACGCUGGCGGAAUGCUUUACACAUGCAAGUCGAACGGCAGCACGGGGCAACCUGGUGGCGAGUGGCGAACGGGUGAGUAAUGCAUCGGAACGUGCCCAAUCGUGGGGGAUAACGUAGCGAAAGUUACGCUAAUGCCGCAUAAGCCCUGAGGGGGAAAGUGGGGGACCGCAAGGCCUCACGCGAAUGGAGCGGCCGAUGUCAGAUUAGCUAGUUGGUGGGGUAAAGGCCCACCAAGGCGACGAUCUGUAGCGGGUCUGAGAGGAUGAUCCGCCACACUGGGACUGAGACACGGCCCAGACUCCUACGGGAGGCAGCAGUGGGGAAUUUUGGACAAUGGGCGCAAGCCUGAUCCAGCCAUGCCGCGUGCGGGACGAAGGCCUCGGUU
rnacentral:rRNA from 1 species